rnacentral:rRNA from 1 species
AGAGUUUGAUCCUGGCUCAGAUUGAACGCUGGCGGCAUGCCUUACACAUGCAAGUCGAACGGCAGCACGGGAGCAAUCCUGGUGGCGAGUGGCGAACGGGUGAGUAAUACAUCGGAACGUGCCCAGUAGUGGGGGAUAGCCCGGCGAAAGCCGGAUUAAUACCGCAUACGACCUACGGGUGAAAGCGGGGGAUCGCAAGACCUCGCGCUAUUGGAGCGGCCGAUGUCAGAUUAGGUAGUUGGUGAGGUAAAGGCUCACCAAGCCUUCGAUCUGUAGCUGGUCUGAGAGGACGACCAGCCACACUGGGACUGAGACACGGCCCAGACCCCUACGGGGGGCAGCAGUGGGGAAUUUUGGACAAUGGGCGCAAGCCUGAUCCAGCCAUGCCGCGUGCGGGAAGAAGGCCUUCGGGUUGUAAACCGCUUUUGUCAGGGAAGAAACGCUCUGGGCUAAUACCCCGGGGUAAUGACGGUACCUGAAGAAUAAGCACCGGCUAACUACGUGCCAGCAGCCGCGGUAAUACGUAGGGUGCAAGCGUUAAUCGGAAUUACUGGGCGUAAAGCGUGCGCAGGCGGUCAUGCAAGACAGAUGUGAAAUCCCCGGGCUUAACCUGGGAACUGCAUUUGUGACUGCAUGGCUUGAGUGCGGCAGAGGGGGAUGGAAUUCCGCGUGUAGCAGUGAAAUGCGUAGAUAUGCGGAGGAACACCGAUGGCGAAGGCAAUCCCCUGGGCCUGCACUGACGCUCAUGCACGAAAGCGUGGGGAGCAAACAGGAUUAGAUACCCUGGUAGUCCACGCCCUAAACGAUGUCAACUGGUUGUUGGAAGGGUUCCCUUUCAGUAACGAAGCUAACGCGUGAAGUUGACCGCCUGGGGAGUACGGCCGCAAGGUUGAAACUCAAAGGAAUUGACGGGGACCCGCACAAGCGGUGGAUGAUGUGGUUUAAUUCGAUGCAACGCGAAAAACCUUACCUACCCUUGACAUGUCUGGAAUUUCGCAGAGAUGUGAAAGUGCUCGAAAGAGAACCAGAACACAGGUGCUGCAUGGCCGUCGUCAGCUCGUGUCGUGAGAUGUUGGGUUAAGUCCCGCAACGAGCGCAACCCUUAUCAUUAGUUGCUACAUUUAGUUGGGCACUCUAAUGAGACUGCCGGUGACAAACCGGAGGAAGGUGGGGAUGACGUCAGGUCCUCAUGGCCCUUAUGGGUAGGGCUACACACGUCAUACAAUGGCCGGUACAGAGGGCUGCCAACCCGCGAGGGGGAGCUAAUCCCAGAAAACCGGUCGUAGUCCGGAUCGCAGUCUGCAACUCGACUGCGUGAAGUCGGAAUCGCUAGUAAUCGCGGAUCAGCUUGCCGCGGUGAAUACGUUCCCGGGUCUUGUACACACC